rnacentral:tRNA from 2 species
GCGCUUUUAGCUCAGCUGGUUUAGAGCGCUGCCUUGACAGGGCAGAGGUCACUGGUUCGAACCCAGUAAAGCGCA